rnacentral:rRNA from 1 species
GACGAACGCUGGCGGCGUGCUUAACACAUGCAAGUCGAACGGGCCUUGUCCCCUUUUUUUUUGGGGGUGGGGUUAGUGGCGAACGGGUGAGUAACACGUGAGUAACCUGCCCCUCACUUCUGGAUAACCGCUUGAAAGGGUAGCUAAUACGGGGUGUUCUGGCCUGCUCGCAUGGGUGGGUUUGGAAAGAUUCGACCGGUUUGGUUGUUUUGGUGGGGGAUGGGCUCGCGGCCUAUCAGCUUGUUGGUGGGGUGAUGGCCUGCCAAGGCUUUGACGGGUAGCCGGCCUGAGAGGGUGGGCGGUCACACUGGGACUGAGACACGGCCCAGACUCCUACGGGAGGCAGCAGUGGGGAAUAUUGCACAAUGGGCGCAAGCCUGAUGCAGCGACGCCGCGUGAGGGAUGGAGGCCUUCGGGUUGUGAACCUCUUUCGCCAGUGAAGAAGGUCCUGCUCUUUGUGGUGGGGUUGACGGUAGCUGGGUUAAUGAAGCGCCGGCUAACUACGUG